rnacentral:rRNA from 1 species
AUUGAACGCUGGCGGCAGGCCUAACACAUGCAAGUCGAGCGGUAGCACAGAGAGCUUGCUCUCGGGUGACGAGCGGCGGACGGGUGAGUAAUGUCUGGGAAACUGCCUGAUGGAGGGGGAUAACUACUGGAAACGGUAGCUAAUACCGCAUAACGUCGCAAGACCAAAGUGGGGGACCUUCGGGCCUCAUGCCAUCAGAUGUGCCCAGAUGGGAUUAGCUAGUAGGUGGGGUAACGGCUCACCUAGGCGACGAUCCCUAGCUGGUCUGAGAGGAUGACCAGCGACACUGGAACUGAGACACGGGCCAGACUCCUACGGGAGGCAGCAGUGGGGAAUAUUGCACAAUGGGCGCAAGCCUGAUGCAGCCAUGCCGCGUGUGUGAAGAAGGCCUUCGGGUUGUAAAGCACUUUCAGCGGGGAGGAAGGCGGUGAGGUUAAUAACCUCAUCGAUUGACGUUACCCGCAGAAGAAGCACCGGCUAACUCCGUGCCAGCAGCCGCCGUAA